rnacentral:rRNA from 1 species
AUGGACAUAUGGAUUGAGUGGUACCCACCUGAAAGAUACACAUCUCAGCAGCCAAGAACUUCAAUAAAAAUGUAUAUCCCAACUCCUUUUAUAAUCUUGAAUGCUUCUCGGUCAACGUCGGUGUCACUUCCAGUCUUGGAUGCUACCAGGAUGCCAGGGAAGAGGUAUGAAAUUCUCAACUUAGGAAGGAACAUACAACCUGUAAUGUGUCGAUCACUAACUAAUAAACAGGAGUCUGAUGUUGGAAAGAAGCAACCGCGGCUCUCCCUUGGCUAUGCCUGGAUGUUCGAGCUGUCAGUGUGGUACAGGAGCAGCAGCCACCAUCGCUGUCAAGUAGCUCCAGCAAUCACGUGCUCACUCUUGCUUCACAGACUAUGUAUGAAAAUUGGAGGUUUUAGGAUCUUUGGAAGUUUUUUGAGGCAUCACCCUUCUUGUCUGCAGUUAAAAGGUUUGACGCAGUACAGUGCGGGGGAAGCGGUGUCCUCUGCAGCUAGGUCUACUUGCUGGCGACCUCACCAUCACCAACCCAUCUACAGAUCCAGAAGCUCACGCAUGGAGGACAUGGACAUUGGUAUCGUCUGUGACGAGGGUUCCCCAGGAUCAAUAGCGUCAAGGAUAGGAACGCCUGUGCCCAAUGAUAAUGACUGCCUGAUAGUGAUUCCUUAUGCUCACAUCUUUGGCCUCAUGCUGCAAGCUCUAAAGCUGCCCCCUGUAACUUACCAGCACAAAAUAUACCCAGGCGGAAAGAAUCGUGUGACAGUGACUUUCAUUUCUACUUUGGAAUUGCUAGAUGGUUCACUUGUCCCGAGUUCUAUACCAGGUGCAAUCUUAGAUAGCUAUGAAGAUGCAGAAGACAGUGCUGCUAUGGAGGCUAUUAGAUUCAUGGAGAAUGCAUAUGGCAAAGAAAUGAGGGGCUACCACUACACCCAUGUCAAGAGGCUAGAAAAUCAAGUGACGCACCUGGUCAAAUGGUUGACUUCAUCCAAUGAGACAAUCAAGAAGCUGCGCAAAACAUGCUACUACGCUGUCAGGUACAUGAACUCAUAUUCUGCCCGGAUAGAAAACACAACAGCUGCUCGCCACCUGAAAGGUCAGGACAACACCAAAGGAGUUAUGAAAACAGCUCUUGCAAGCAUCGAAGGACUGACGCAAAGGCUACGCUACAUUGUUAUGAAGUUUGAGCAGCGCCUUGAAGCAACCAGAAACAGUUUCUGGUAA